rnacentral:lncRNA from 1 species
CUCAGCCUCCCGAGUAGCUGGGACUAUAGGCACCCGCCACCACGCCCGGCUAAUUUUUUGUAUUCACAGUACAGACGGGGUUUCACCGUGUUAGCCAGGAUGGUUUCGAUCUCCUGACCUCGUGAUCCGCCCGCCUCUGCCUCCCAAAGUGCUGGGAUUACAGGCGUGAGCCACCGCGCCCGGUGGAAAGGACACUUUUUUACAGUAUGAGCACUGAAACAAAAAGGCAAAGCAAGGUCUGUUCACCUUCAGCUGAGAACGUGAGGAUUGGUUCAGGAGUACAUGCGCAGGUUUGUCAUAUAAGCAAAUUAUGUGGCACAGAAGUUUGGUGUAUGGAUUAUUUCAUCACCCAGGCCGUUUCUCAGCGUUGGAUGUGCAAGCAGUUUUGAGAGAUGAAGUCAUGACUUCAAGACAAAAAAACAGGUUUGCUUAUUUUGCUACAAACCAAUAAGUUCUUCAGCCAUGCUGCAAAUCCACUGUGUAUCCAGUUCCCAUCUGCGGCCCGCACAUCAUCCCCAUGGGACUUGAGAGCAAGAGGAUCCCACGCAAAUCAUGUUGCUUGCUAUGCUGUUUGGAGAUGCGGACUGGCUUCCUUGUUCCUCAGCUUGCAGAUGGCCUACUGUGCGAUUUCACCUGGUGAUCAUCCUGCUGCCUGGAAUGCAUAUGUGAUGGCUGGAAUGCUAGCUCUAAUUUUGGAUCAUGAGGAAAAGUGCCACACCAUUGGAGAUGAGGGAUGAGCUGGAAGGGCCUGUGGCAGGGGAUCAUGUCCUGGGACAUACCAAGAGAGCAGCUUCUAGAGGACUGAUUAUCAGAGAGGAACUGGAAUGUGAAAAGACGUCUAACUAACCAUUAUUAAUGAUUCACUUGUAAUUUUCACUAAUGGAUGACCCACAUGAUUUCCUCUUCAAAGAAUUUGUCCAAAGCCACCCAUUUAAAAAAGAAAAGAAUGGAGGAUGGAAUCUCAUAAGUGAUCUUACCAUUUACAAAGCACAGUGUGAUUAAUCAAUUCUCCUUUAUAUUUUAGUGCCUACCGUGUUUCUUAAUUUGAUGGAGAAGCCUUCUUAUAAACACUCUUAGAAAAGCUAUAUGUAAUUAACUUUCUUCUUUGAGCAAAGGGACUUGUUUCUCUGAGAUGUCUAUAAAAGAUAAAGAGUUGAUGUGGGCCACACUCCUGCCUCUGCUUUCUCUUAGAGGUCUAAGGGUAAUUAGUGGACAAAAGCAGUCAAUUAAGCAGGUAUCUUCCCAGACACCAUGUCCACUCUUGAUGACUGUUGAAAACCUUAGAUAACCCCAUCAGGAACUGAGGUAAGGCCAUGAAUUGCCUUUAGUUUGAGCAUGGGUGAAUUUAAUCUCCUUAACCUAGUUAGGGAUUGGAAUCUGGCUCACCUUCAGGUUUUAUGAAUAAAGUUUUAUUGGAACACAGUCACUCCUAUUCGUUUUACAUCUAACUGUGGCUGCUUUUGUGCUACCAUAGCAGAGUUAAGUCACUCUAACAGAAAAUAGAUGGCUCACAAAGCCAAACAUAUUUUACUCCAUAGCCCUUUAAAAUCUGCUAACCUUUGAUAUGGUGACAGCAUGAAAUUUCUUUAAGCACUUGCCCAGUAUUAUAGAUUUUUUAUGAGCGAAUGUGAAUAUUAAUGUAAUGUAACUCAGGAAAGAAAUAUGUCUUGAACCCACAUUUAUAUAAAAUCAAUUUUGAUAGCAAGCUUAUUACUUCACAAAGAAAAAAAGUCUAUCCAUGUUUUUUCUGCUCAAAAAAAAUGUUGGCAGAGAAUGCUAUUAGAGUCAUAUAGGUAAAACAAACUUACAGGUAAAACAAGCUAAAUUUAACUUUUGCUCUAUGAAGUUUGCCAUGUUUCAAGGAAUAUAGUUAGACCCAGAAUGCCUUGAUAUUUUCAUAGUAAUGGGCCAUGCUCUAAUUUGGUGCUAUUUCCCUAUACUUAAUUGAGGAGCUAACAGUCAAUUGUGAGACUAAACCUUCAAUUAAUAAAAGCAGCAUGGGUCGAUCCUCAAAAGGAAAGCCCAUUUUUCUUGUCAGUGU